rnacentral:misc_RNA from 1 species
AAGUCGUAACAAGGUAACCGUAGGUGAACCUGCGGUUGGAUCAUUAAUAAAAAUAAAAAAGAUUGUUUUCCCGAAAGGGUUAAACGUCCAACUCUCCCCCAUUUUGUGAACUUGUAAAUCUCCUCUUUUUUAACAGAGAGAUUAUUUUCUUUUGGGAUUGCCCUCUUCCAGGGGUGGUCCCAAGUUUAUAAUUUUCUCUUGUUAAAAGAAUUUUAAAUGCCAAUAAUUGAAAGAACUUGUCUUUACCGUUUAAAAUUUAUAAAAAAAAAUAAUAAUAAACAACUUUUGACAACGGAUCUCUAGGCUCUC